CACCUGACAGGGGAGUCGAUGGCUCCAGGAGACUUUGGGCUCCUGCCUCCCCAGUGAGAAGGAGCCUGGGAGCCGCGGGGGGGCAGACCACAGGCCACAGGCCCCGAGUUCAGCAGGAUGAAGCCUGACGAGGGAUCUGUGUAAAAUGAAAGUGGCAGAUACAGAGGCAGAAGCAUUGCGGGGAGGGUGGAGGCUGGGGGCCAGAAACAGUGAGUCGGCGUCCACCUGCCGCUCCUGAGAGGAGAACCGCAGCAGUCCGAGGGCACACCUGAUGCCCAUCUGGUGGCAGGUCGAUUCAGCCUGUGCCAAAGAAAGCCAAGGAACCAGGAAGGGAAAACGGACCACCGGAUCUGAUUGUCGACUUUUAUUUUUGGUUUGGGCCUGAGACGUUUGAAGCUCUUUUCCGCCUCAGAGAGGGGCAAGGGGCAAAAGUCCUGAUGUCUGACUGGCUGUCUGUCUCACACCUGCCUCACUCCUCCUCCUCAGCUCCCCUGAUGUCACCCUGCAGCUCUCUCCCCUGCCCAGGGGCCGCUUGGCGAUCACCUUCUCGACACUGAGCCGGAGGAUCCCGGACACCUCGAGAACACCCUCCCAGAGCCCAGUUCUCGAGAGAUGAUGGAGACGGCAUGAAGCCUCUCGCCCUGCAGGACUCACCGAGACGACGGAACCGGGAUCACUCUCGUUCUGCUGGGCCGGGCUCUCUCCUCGCUUAAGGCCCCUCCAAGAAAGGAGGAGCAAAAGGAAGUUUGUUUUACAUUUGACUUAUUCCUGAAUCUAGAGGAAAACCCAUCUGGGGAUCACCUUGGUUGUGAGAAAUUAACAUUCAAUGACACUACCAAUCAACAGUCUGGAGGGAAAACUCGAGUCUCCACCCUCCACUCUCCGCCAUGCCGCUGCUGCCCAGCACAGGUAAUGAAUAUGCCAGAAGGAACAGAAAAGUGUAUCGAGGCCCAGUCCUGACUACCCAUAUUUGCUCACAACUCUCUACCUUCUCUGAUCCCAGGAAGAACAAAUCAUCCCAUAUGUCAGUGGUUUGCAAGGCCUGAUGCAACCAACGUUGAGCAGUGGACCAAAGGGAUAUUGUGAAAAUGUAUUUUUAUUCUUAUUUAGAAAGGACUAAUCCCAAAGAUCUGAAAGCCUUUAUACAGUUUUUUUCCCACAUUCUCAAAUUCUAAUUUUGCUUGUUUUUUUUUUCCUCUGCAAGGACAGUGCUUUAUUCUCUGUUUAGAAGGUAGAGUAGUUAAUUUCCCUACCCAGUGAUGUCAUUUCUCCAUUGUUUAUUAGCUCUGUAUUUGAAUGGCUGACAAGUUUCUUAAAAUAUAUAUAUUUUCUUUGUUCCUCUAGCUUUUCCCUUGCAUUAGUAGCUCCUUGGGCUAUUAAACAAUAUAAUCAAAUAAUAGUAUUUAUUUUAUGCUUACAGUGCAGAAGACUGUAAUAAGCCCUUGAGAAAAUAGGUGUCAAUCAGUAAUUUUUAUUGAAUGCCUAUGGUUUGUGGAGCACUGAAUAUUAAUAAUAACAACAAUAAUAUUAAUAAUUAAUUCUAGGCCGUAAGCUUCCUGUAGGCUGGUAACAAGUCUACUACGUUUAUUGUAAUAUAUUCUCCCAACUGCUAAUUGAAUGCACACAACAAAUACCUUUAAUUAAUAAGGAUAUUUGUUCACGCUAACUCUGUGCUAUAUUCUCCACUAUUAGUAAAAGCAAUUUUUUUAACAAAAAAAAAGUAAGGCAGGGUCCAGGUAUCAAAUGGUCAUCUUAAAAUAAGUAAGAGGGAGAAGCAGAUAUUUAAUUUAAUUUUUAAGGUGAGGAAGGUUUAGGAUAGUAGGCUAAAGAGGGAGUCAUUGUCUUGAUACCACAGGGAAAGUCUGGUUUCUUGCUAAUCGUCCCCUGUUCAGCACAGAGACUUGAACCCGGUAUGGAUGUGCAGUAUUUUUAUUUUGAGGGCCCAGCCUUGGCUCCUGCUUCCACGUUCUGCAGCUCGGAAGCCGUGCCUGAGGUCCCAUGGGACCAGGAGGGAAUGUAACAACUGUGGGGAGAGAGAGAGGGACAGAGAGAGAGAGAGAGAGUGUGUGUGUGUGUGUGUUGUGGGGAGGCCUCAGGAGUCCCCCAGAGAACUAGCUCUACAUUUUCUAGGAAGAACUUUUUACAAAACACUGUUACAUUGCAUUACACAACUUGUUCUCUCUCCGACUUGGACUGUGGGCCCCAUGUGGGACAGGGACUGUGUCUGUCCUGCUCAUUUUAUAUCUAUUCCGGGGCUUGAUAUAUUGUUUGGCAAACAGUAAGGGCUUAACAAGUAUUAUUAUAUUAUUAUUAUUGCUAUUGUUGUUAUUA